rnacentral:rRNA from 1 species
GACGAACGCUGGCGGCGGGCUUAACACAUGCAAGUCGAACGAUGAACCAGGGCUUGCCCUGGGAAUUAGUGGCGAACGGGUGAGUAACACGUGGGCAACCUGCCCCAGACACCGGGAUAACCAUCCGAAAGGAUGGCUAAUACCGGAUAUGACCACUUUGGGCACUCCAACGGUGGUGGAAAGGAUUCUGGUCUGGGAUCGGGCCCGCGGCCUAUCAGCUAGUUGGUGGGGUAAUGGCCUACCAAGGCGACGACGGGUAGCCGGCCUGAGAGGGCGACCGGCCACAC